AUUGAACGCUGGCGGCAGGCCUAACACAUGCCAGUCGAGCGGAUGAAGGGAGCUUGCUCCUGGAUUCAGCGGCGGACGGGUGAGUAAUGCCUAGGAAUCUGCCUGGUAGUGGGGGAUAACGUCCGGAAACGGGCGCUAAUACCGCAUACGUCCUGAGGGAGAAAGUGGGGGAUCUUCGGACCUCACGCCAUCAGAUGAGCCUAGGUCGGAUUAGCUAGUUGGUGGGGUAAAGGCCUACCAAGGCGACGAUCCGUAACUGGUCUGAGAGGAUGAUCAGUCACACUGGAACUGAGACACGGUCCAGACUCCUACGGGAGGCAGCAGUGGGGAAUAUUGGACAAUGGGCAAAAGCCUGAUCCAGCCAUGCCGCGUGUGUGAAGAAGGUCUUCGGAUUGUAAAGCACUUUAAGUUGGGAGGAAGGGCAGUAAGUUAAUACCUUGCUGUUUUGACGUUACCAACAGAAUAAGCACCGGCUAACUUCGUG
rnacentral:rRNA from 1 species